UACGUAGGGGGCGAGCGUUGUCCGAAUUUACUGGGCGUAAAGCGCGCGUAGGCGGGGGAUUACGUGCGAUGUGAAAGGCUGGGGCUCAACCCCAUGCAGUGCUCCUCAUACUGGUCCUCUUGAGGGCGGUAGAGAGAAGUGGAAUGGCUGGUGUAGCGGUGAAAUGCGUAGAUAUCAGUCGGAACACCGGUGGCGAAGGCGGCUUCGUGGGCCGUUUCUGACGCUGAGGCGCGAAAGCCAGGGGAGCAAACGGG
rnacentral:rRNA from 1 species